rnacentral:rRNA from 1 species
GAUGAACGCUAGCGGGAGGCUUAACACAUGCAAGUCGAGGGGCAUCACGAGGUAGCAAUACUUUGGUGGCGACCGGCGCACGGGUGAGUAACACGUAUGCAACCUACCCUGUACAGGGGAUAACCCGGAGAAAUUCGGACUAAUAUCCCAUGCAAUUAUUGGAGGGCAUCCUUUGAUAAUUAAAGCUCAGGCGGUAUAGGAUGGGCAUGCGGAACAUUAGCUAGUUGGUAGGGUAACGGCCUACCAAGGCUACGAUGUUUAGGGGACCUGAGAGGGUUAUCCCCCACACUGGUACUGAGACACGGACCAGACUCCUACGGGAGGCAGCAGUGAGGAAUAUUGGUCAAUGGGCGCAAGCCUGAACCAGCCAUCCCGCGUGAAGGAAGAAGGCCCUAUGGGUUGUAAACUUCUUUUCCAGGGGGUGAAUAAUUCCGAUGUAUCGGGAGAUGACGGUACCCUGGGAAUAAGCAUCGGCUAACUCCGUG